UGGGGAAUAUUGGACAAUGGGCGAAAGCCUGAUCCAGCCAUGCCGCGUGUGUGAAGAAGGUCUUCGGAUUGUAAAGCACUUUAAGUUGGGAGGAAGGGCAGUAAGCUAAUACCUUGCUGUUUUGACGUUACCGACAGAAUAAGCACCGGCUAACUCUGUGCCAGCAGCCGGGGUAAUACAGAGGGUGCAAGCGUUAAUCGGAAUUACUGGGCGUAAAGCGCGCGUAGGUGGUUCGUUAAGUUGGAUGUGAAAUCCCCGGGCUCAACCUGGGAACUGCAUCCAAAACUGGCGAGCUAGAGUAUGGUAGAGGGUGGUGGAAUUUCCUGUGUAGCGGUGAAAUGCGUAGAUAUAGGAAGGAACACCAGUGGCGAAGGCGACCACCUGGACUGAUACUGACACUGAGGUGCGAAAGCGUGGGGAGCAAACAGG
rnacentral:rRNA from 1 species